rnacentral:rRNA from 1 species
GACGAACGCUGGCGGCGUGCUUAACACAUGCAAGUCGAACGAAGAGCGAUGGAAGCUUGCUUCUAUCAAUCUUAGUGGCGAACGGGUGAGUGACGCGUAAUCAACCUGCCCUUCAGAGGGGGACAACAGUUGGAAACGACUGCUAAUACCGCAUACGAUCUAAUCUCGGCAUCGAGGAAAGAUGAAAGGUGGCCUCUAUUUAUAAGCUAUCACUGAAGGGGGGGAUUGCGUCUGAUUAGCUAGUUGGAGGGGUAACGGCCCACCAAGGCGAUGAUCAGUAGCCGGUCUGAGAGGAUGAACGGCCACAUUGGGACUGAGACACGGCCCAGACUCCUACGGGAGGCAGCAGUGGGGAAUCUUCCGCAAUGGACGAAAGUCUGACGGAGCAACGCCGCGUGAGUGAUGACGGCCUUCGGGUUGUAAAGCUCUGUUAAUCGGGACGAAAGGCCUUCUUGCGAA